GUGUGCGUGUGUCAUCACAGCGUGGUACGUUUGCGGGCGCGGCUGCGUCGCGGC
ensembl:ncRNA K02B9.6 ncRNA